rnacentral:ribozyme from 1 species
AAUAUCUGUUGGUUCUGUGAAAGGGUUGGAUCCGACGCCUCUAGAAGGCUACUAUAGGCUCUCCUUCUCAACUCCUACUCAAUACGUCCA